UACAAACAAGGGGUGGGGCUGCAGUUGCUGAUUUGGUGCUGGUGUAGAUGUUUGGGUGUAGAUGUUUGGGUGUAGAUGUUUGGGUGUAGAUGUUUGGGAGUAGAUGUUUGGGUGUAGAUGUUUGGGAGUAGGUGUUUGGGAGUAGGUGUUUGGGAGUAGGUGUUUGGGAGUAGAUGUUUGGGUGUAGAUGUUUGGGAGUAGAUGUUUGGGUGUAGAUGUUUGGGAGUAGAUGUUUGGGUGUAGAUGUUUGGGAGUAGGUGUUUGGGUGUAGGUGUUUGGGUGUAGGUGUUUGGGUGUAGGUGUUUGGGUGUAGGUGUUUGGGUGUAGGUGUUUGGGUGUAGGUGUUUGGGUGUAGGUGUUUGGGAGUAGAUGUUUGGGAGUAGGUGUUUGGGUGUAGGUGUUUGGGAGUAGGUGUUUGGGAGUAGGUGUUUGGGUGUAGAUGGUUGGGUGUAGAUGUUUGGGAGUAGAUGUUUGGGAGUAGGUGUUUGGGUGUAGAUGUUUGGGUGUAGGUGUUUGGGUGUAGAUGUUUGGGAGUAGGUGUUUGGGAGUAGGUGUUUGGGUGUAGAUG